CCCUUAGAUGUUCUGGGCCGCACGCGCGCUACACUGACGGAGGCAGCGAGCAUGUCCUUCGCCGAGAGGUGUGGGGAAUCUUGUGAGUCUCCGUCGUGCUGGGGAUAGAUGGUUGCAAUUGUCGAUCUUGAACGAGGAAUUCCUAGUAAGCGCGAGUCAUCAGCUCGCGCUGAUUACGUCCCUGCCCUUUGUACACACCGCCCGUCGCACCUACCGAUUGAAUGGUCCGGUGAAAUCUUCGGACUCUGUGUUUAUUGAUUCGUUUCAAUUUACUACUGGAGAAAGUUGAGUAAACCUUACCAUUUAGAGGAAGGUGAAGUCGUAACA
rnacentral:rRNA from 1 species